CUAGUAUUUUGGUUGGUGUCUUACAGCUUUCGUAUAUUUUCCAAAUUCCUUUGUUCUCUCUUAGCUUUUAUAUGGUUUAAGUGCAGCAUUCACCAGUAAUAUAAAUCGUCAUUUUACAGAUUGGGAAAGAGUGGCAUCAGAAUGUUGAAGAUCUCUAGAUUUGAUCUAAAGUUGCCUGCAGAGCUUGUCCAGACUUGUGCUGCUCUGCGAGAAAGAGAGCUUGCCAAGUUUAUAGCAACCAAUAAUGAAGGUGAAUUCCAGCAUACCAUAGAAGUGAAGAGUGAAAAGGAGCACUUUGUCAACUUUGAACUAUCCAAUUUGGAGAUAACAUUUAAAGAUGGCAGAUUUGUGGCCCAGAUUGCCCAGGUUCUUAAAGUCUUUCAGGCGCCAGAACAGGAAUCUCAGCAGCAACAGCCUGCACCAUCACAACAACAGCCGAGUAAUGUUGGAACAGUAACCUCACGUGGUAGUUUUGAAAAGCAAUCGCCAAAUGUCACGCAUUCAAAUGAGAGACUUGUGUCCCCAACAUCUGGUCCAGAUGCCGUGAACUUGUUCAGAAACACACAGUAUAGAAAUUCAAAGGAAAUCUCAGCAUCUCAAAAUGUUUCUCAGACUACCAGCGUGCAACCAAGACAGAUGCCAAAUACAGGUGUCAACUCAAACACAGCCGAAGAAGAGGAUGAUGACAUAAUUGUAGUGAAAGAUGAAGAUAUGAUAUCAAGGAGGUCGAAAAAUGUAGCUGAAGUCACAAUUGAGCCCUCUGCUGCAGGAGAGCCCAGCUCCUCUCAGCCUUCGCAGAUAUACCCUUAUAGCUUAUCACAAGUGCAUUUGAAUGCACCAUCCACUAUCACAAGUAUGACAAACACAGAACAGUUAGUUCAACCUUCAACUUCUCAAGUGGGUUCUAACGUGCCACCUCCCCCAACCACACCAGGGCAAAUGUUUCUUCACAGAAAGAUGGCAAGGAUGCAGCAGAGAACUGUCAGUCACCCCCUGAUGAGGUCCAGGAAGAAACAUCUACAGAGAGAAACAAAAUCUUCCUGUCAGUACUGUGAUAUGUCAUUUUCAAGUAGUUUUGCGCUGAGGGCACACUUACGAGUUCAUAAAGGGAAUUUAUAUGAGUGUCUCCUGUGUAACAAACAGUUUGUGUAUAAACAGUCCUUGCUUAGGCAUGUUGAACGCAAUCACCAAAGCAACCAGGAAUGUGUUUGUUGUAUCUGUGGGAAUGUGCUGUCUUCUCCGGAUGUGAUAAAGGAUCACAUAGAAACAGUCCACAGAAAAGAGGCUGUCAGAUGUAACGUUUGCCAAGUAUACUUCACCAGAUCAACUUUGAGGAUUCAUAUGGCCAUGCAGCACAAAGAAUUUUCAUCAUGAUUUCACAUUUAAUGCUUAAAUGUAAAUGGUGCAUGAGGGUUGAGGUACCAACAUGGAACCUUCGAAAUCAUGGCCCUAUAUUUCUUGCUGCUAUUUUCUAAUGAUAGUUGAUGUUGUUGACAGUAUAUUGCAGUAUGUACCUGAAACAAAAAUAUAUUUACAUAUUACAAGGGCAAACAUACCCACCCACAGUUGAGAAGACCAUGGCCUGGAGAUUCG
rnacentral:misc_RNA from 1 species